CCUACGGGGGGCUGCAGUGGGGAAUAUUGGACAAUGGGGGGAACCCUGAUCCAGCCAUGCCGCGUGUGUGAAGAAGGCCCUCGGGUUGUAAAGCACUUUCAGUGAGGAAGAACGCCUGGUGGUUAAUACCCAUCAGGAAAGACAUCACUCACAGAAGAAGCACCGGCUAACUCCGUGCCAGCAGCCGCGGUAAUACGGAGGGUGCGAGCGUUAAUCGGAAUUACUGGGCGUAAAGCGCGCGUAGGUGGCUUGAUAAGCCGGUUGUGAAAGCCCCGGGCUCAACCUGGGAACGGCAUCCGGAACUGUCAAGCUAGAGAGCAGGAGAGGAAGGUAGAAUUCCCGGUGUAGCGGUGAAAUGCGUAGAGAUCGGGAGGAAUACCAGUGGCGAAGGCGGCCAUCUGGACUGACACUGACACUGAGGUGCGAAAGCGUGGGUAGCAAACAGGAUUAGAUACCCCAGUAGUC
rnacentral:rRNA from 1 species